AGAUGGUGAGAACUUGACUCUUCAGAUAAUACAUUUUCUAUCUGCUUAUAUUACAUAAUUGCAUAUGACCUAUUUUGAGAUUAUAUAGAGAGAGAGUGAGAGAAUGUCUUGUUGACAUUGUAUCAGAUGAAAUGCUGUGAUUUCCCUACAUUUGUUUUAGAUACAUGCUUCUUCCAUCUGCAACAUUUUGAUCAAGAUGGCUCUAAAUGUUUAAG